UGUGUAGUUAUACUGCAACGUGUACCACAACGUCGUAUAUCUCAUCCGCUAGGAACAUAAGGGGGAACUUGCGAUUAAACCCGACGGAAGUCUGCAGAGGUCCGCGGCUCACUUUAGGGGCGAAACAGCCGGUCGUGCUCAACUCUCUCUGACUUCUUAAGUAGAAGAGAACUAGAGUGGGUUUACCUGCCGCUUCGGUGCACUCGAAGGACGAGCUUCAGAAUAAUGUCACCGCUCAUCACGAUCUGCUUCUUUGCGGCUUUGGGAUUCCUGACGCUGAAUGUCGAUGCGAGCACCCUUCAAGACUGGAGGCCUCCACAAUGUGAGCAGGGAAUGGAAUACACUGGAUGCGAAACAGCAUGUCCACGCAUUUGCGGUGAGCCCCGACCGACUACGUGCUACCUUGUGUGCAUUCAUGCGUGCAAGUGCAAAGAGGGCUUUAUACGCUCUGGAACGGCAAAUGGGCCAUGUAUUCCAGAAAAUGAAUGUGAUCGUCUUCCGGAGGACUUCCCUACCGAAGCCCGUCCAGCACUCCCGUCGUUUGUCUAAACGGCGAGGACGUCAACGCAGAUUGCACGUGGUCUUGAUUUUCUUAACAUGAUUAGACUGAAGUAAACAUGUUUCUUCACAUG